rnacentral:rRNA from 1 species
UACGAAGGGGGCUAGCGUUGUUCGGAAUUACUGGGCGUAAAGCGCGCGUAGGCGGCGAUCUUUGUCAGGGGUGAAAUCCCGGAGCUUAACUCCGGAAUUGCCUUUGAAACGGGAUCGCUUGAGUCCGAGAGAGGAUGGCGGAAUUCCUAGUGUAGAGGUGAAAUUCGUAGAUAUUAGGAAGAACACCGGUGGCGAAGGCGGCCAUCUGGCUCGGUACUGACGCUCAGGCGCGAAAGCGUGGGGAGCAAAC